rnacentral:rRNA from 1 species
GGCGAUUUCCGAAUGGGGAAACCCAGUGUGUUUCGACACACUAUCAUUAACUGAAUCCAUAGGUUAAUGAGGCGAACCGGGGGAACUGAAACAUCUAAGUACCCCGAGGAAAAGAAAUCAACCGAGAUUCCCCCAGUAGCGGCGAGCGAACGGGGAGGAGCCCAGAGCCUGAAUCAGUGUGUGUGUUAGUGGAAGCGUCUGGAAAGGCGCGCGAUACAGGGUGACAGCCCCGUACACAAAAAUGCACAUAUUGUGAGCUCGAUGAGUAGGGCGGGACACGUGGUAUCCUGUCUGAAUAUGGGGGGACCAUCCUCCAAGGCUAAAUACUCCUGACUGACCGAUAGUGAACCAGUACCGUGAGGGAAAGGCGAAAAGAACCCCGGCGAGGGGAGUGAAAAAGAACCUGAAACCGUGUAC